GAUGAAGAACGCAGCGAAAUGCGAUAAGUAGUGUGAAUUGCAGAAUUCAGUGAAUCAUCGAAUCUUUGAACGCACAUUGCGCCCCUUGGUAUUCCAUGGGGCAUGUCUGUUCGAGCGUCAUUUGUACCUUCAAGCUCUGCUUGGUGUUGGGUGUUUGUCUCGCCUCUGCGCGUAGACUCGCCUCAAAACAAUUGGCAGCCGGCGUAUUGAUUUCGGAGCGCAGUACAUCUCGCGCUUUGCACUCAUAACGACGACGUCCAAAAGUACAUUUUUACACUCUUGACCUCGGAUCAGGUAGGGAUACCCGCUGAACUUAAGCAUAUCAAUAAGCGGAGGA
rnacentral:misc_RNA from 1 species